CUCUCUCUCUCUCUGAGGCUGCACUUUCUCUUGUUCACUCACCCUCUUGUCUUCUUUGUGUACAUAGUUUGUAUACCACCAAUAGCUGCACAGCAUUAAGAUAUGAGGCUGAGGAUUAUUGUAACACUUAUGAAUAAACUAUUUACAUAUUGCCCCCUAUGUCACUGGCACCAGAUAAGACUAAGGACACAACUAAGGUCACAUCAUGUGUAAAUUUAAGCAGUCAGUAUUUGGUCGAUUAUCUUUAAAGCCAAGUUUAGGGAAUGUAUAAAAGUAAGUUCUGUUCAUUCUCAAAUAAUGUUUCUUGUUCUCAGUUCAUAAUGGGGUGUUAUCACCUAAAAAUUUCCAAGUUUUUAAAGACAAUGUAAAUCAGCAGAGAAAGAUCUGCUUUGAAUAUAAGGAGUGUGAGAAGCAGAUGGCCUAAUUAUGUGUUUGAGAAAGAAUCCAAUUCAACAAAUACAAAAAUGUUCAUUUUACCCCUCUAUUUUUCCUAUAAAACAAAUUGAUUACAAAAAAAAAUAAUGCCAAGAGAACCUUGAAACUUAAGACUGCUCCUUUCAGAGUACUGGCAUCCUGAUAUCAAGGAAAGGGUUGGCAGAGGAGAAACUGAGAAAAAAGGCUGGCAGAGGAGAUUAAUUUGGAAAAAAAGUAAUACAAGGUGUCACUGCCUGGCAAAACUAAUGGGAGGAGAAGAGCCAAACUGCCAAGCACUGCACCUGCAAGAUGGUCCUGUGCCACACCAAAUAAUGAAGAUCUUUUCCCCAGGAGUCUGCUCAACUUCUGUUGAAUUACUAUGACUACAGGAUCUGUAAUUCUAUACAUUAAUAAAACUUACAAACUGGU